rnacentral:rRNA from 1 species
ACGUAGGAUGCGAGCGUUGUCCGGAAUUAUUGUGCGUAAAUAUUUCUUAUUCGGCAUAUCAAGUCUGGUGUUAAAUCCCGGGGCUCAACUCCGGAUCGGCACUGGAUACUGAUAAGCUUGAGUGCAGCAGAGGCAAGGGGAAUUCCCAGUGUAGCGGUGAAAUGCGUAGAUAUUGGGAGGAACACCAGUGGCGUAAGCGCCUUGCUGGGCUGUUAAUGAAGGUUAUUGUUGUGUGGUUUUUUUGUUUUUGG